UUGAGAGUCUAUAUUUAUUACUGUUUUAAUAUUGGGAGAACUUUUCAAAGAGAUAGUUUAAAAUCUGCUCUGGAGUACAGACAUGAGCUUGUCUCUGGGAAAUGAGGUUGGUGAAACAAUUUAGGAAUAUGGUGAUGACUUGGUAGCAUGAGCCGCAUACCAAACAAGGGAACACGGGUUCAAGCCCUGGUCCGGGAAGAUCCCACAUGCCAUGGAGCAACUAAGCCCAUGCGCCACAACUACUGAGCCUGCACUCUAGAGCCUGCGAGCCACAGCUACUGAACUCGCAUGCCACAACUACUGAAGCCCAAGAACCUACAGCCUGUGCUCCACAACAAGAGAAGCCACCUCAAUGAGAAGCCCGUGCACCACAACGAAGAGUAGCCCCCACUUGCCACAACGAGAGGAAGCCCAUGUGCAGCAAUGAAGACCCAGUGCACUAUCAAUUCCUGUAUGAUAUACUGGGAUUGAGACAAUGACUAAAGUUCUCAAGACAGAGUACCAGGGAGGAAUGAGCUGAAGAGCUGAAGACCCUCUGCAAAUCUUCAGAAUUAAGGGAAACCAAAGGCACAACUAACUGCUGGACAACCAUCAACAAAAAAGACUGGAACUUACCAAAAAAGAUAUUCUACAUGCAAAGAUGAAGAAGCCACAGUGAGAUGAGACUACCAUGUGAAGAAGGACAACAUACUGGAGGAUAAGAGAUCAUUUGGAGCAGAAAAGAGCCAUUACAGCUGAGACUCCCUAGAUUAACCACUCUGCCAACAACAGAUGUGUGAGACCAUUCUAAGCCAUCCAACCUCAGCUGAAACUUCUAUCAACCAUAAAUAUCAGAGAAGCUGGCACAGACCAAAUAAACAAUCCAGCUGACCCAUACAAUCUUAAGAAAUAAUAACUUUUUAAAAAUCAUUAAGUUUCAUCAUGGUUUUUUAUACAUCCAAAGAUAACUGACAUAAUAGCCACUGUUUUAUCACUUGGAACACACAUGUAAUACAUUGGCAUAUCCACAUGUAUGUUCAUUUUUAUGUGUGUGUUUGUGUAGUAUUUAUAUUCACAUAACAAUCAUACUC